GGCCCGGGCACCCAGAGCGAGUGAAUGCACUGUGGAAGAUGCCCUUGCUUGUGACAGCCGCUGUCUACCUGGUGGCCAGAUGUGGGCUUUCUCAAGUGGCUCCUGCAAGUGAAUGUGGAUGUUUGUGUUCCACACAUGCGUGUGGAGAGAUAGGUGCACACUUGCACACAUGUGCACACCAAAAAAUGAGAGAUACGAGUGUAGCUAAAAGACAAAAAUACUCAAAAGAAAACCAAACCCUCAAGGUGCUGUUGUAUUGCACCAAGGUUUGUCGGUGAGAUAGACAAUCGCAGAUUUCUGUCCUGAGGAAGUGUUUUCACUCAGAAACCACCUUGUCACGCAGAGCCUUUCUCUUUCCACCCACCAAUGUUUUUCCUGAAUAUUCAGAACUGUGGACUGCAUAACGCUACUCCCAGUAGGGAAAGUGGUUUUUGUGAGCCCACAGCACAAAACAAGCAACCAGGACCAGUAUGGCUGGGCAAGCUGUCCCAUCAUUUGUGAGGUGGGCCAUGUUGUUUUGGGGGUCAUGAGGAGGUCCUGCAGCUUGGGGUUUCUUGCAAGGCCCAAAGCUCUUCUCCUUCAAGGUUCAUCCAGUUUUGUCUCCUGCAGCUCUCUGCUGACAAGGUUAGAAAGCAGAAGACCAGUUUUCUCACUUGGGGAUAAAUAAGGAUGAUUCUGUUGUGUCAGAAAUCAUGAAAUGUAACAUUGAAGGGCCCAGGCAUUGAGGCAGACGCCAUUGCUCCUCCCACUAAAAAGGUUCCCACAAACGCCGUUACCAAGACCUUAACAAGAGCCAGUGUCCAAGGAGAGGUUGGGACAAGAUGGUAGCCUUACCACCCAUUCCAGCCUCCAGCCUGGGGACCCAAGCAAGAUUUCCCCUAAUGAGUGGGUGUCAUAACAGAUGAGUGGCUAGGGCAUGUCAGGUGUUUGCGGUUGGUGCCUGUUCUUAAUGUCAUAGCCCAGCUGAUGGCCAGUUCUCUCUGCGGCCGCUUACCUACAUUCAGUUACCCACCCGUGCAUAAACACUGAGCUCAAGCCAUCAGGAGCACAUUCGGCCAGUGGGAAGUCGGAAGGAGUGUAGAAGGUGACAUUUGCUGACUUUGUGAUCUCAGGGUCAUCUGGUAGGCACUAGCUAUGCUGUGCUGUAUCGUCAAGCGGAAACGGUGGAUCUGCCCUAGCGACACAAAGACAGCAGCUUUGAGAGAUAGCUCUACAGCGCUUGCCUUCCAGGCACAGGGACCUGAGUUGGAGCCCCAGGUCACCCCUAAACCAGCCACGUCAAUACCACAAUUGACGGUAUGUGUUUGUAAUCCUAGCCUUAGGAGGUGAGGGCAAGCAGCUCCCUGGAACUCACUGGCCAGCCAGUCUAGUCUCCUUGGCCUAGUUCCCAGCCCACAGAGAGAUUCUGCUCCCAAAACCAACAAACAGAAACAGUGUAUGUUGCCUAAGGAUUACUAGCCAAGGUUGUCCUGCGUCUUCCACAUGAGCAUGCGCCUGUAUACAGGUACCACAGAUGCACAUAGAUCAGAAAAUCUUCACAGUGUCUCCAGCGAGGAUGGAUGACUGGGCAGCACACGUUCAGAGGUCGUGGAUGGGUCUGCUGAGAUGCCCUUCAGUUCACUUGACAGUUUCUAAUCGGAAGUGGAUUCUUUUAUUUUUAAUUCAAUUUAUUUUACUUACUCACUUUACAUCCCCCUCCUGGCCACCUCCUCCCACAAUUCUUUUCCCAUCUCCCCUCCCCUUUUCCUCUGAGCAGGUGGGGGACCCUGGGUAUCCCCCACCCUGCCACAUCAAGUCUCUGCAAGGCUAGGCCCAUGCUCUCCCACUGAGGCCAGACAAGGCAGCCCAGCUAGAAGAGCAUAUCCCACAGACAGGAGCUUUGGCAUAGCUGCGGCUCCAGUUGUUUGGGACCCACAUGAAGACCAGGCUGCACAUUUGCUACAUACAUGUGGGAGGCCUAGGCCCAGCCUGUGUGUGUUCUUUGGUUGGUGGUUCAACUCUUGAGAGCCCCAAGGGUCCAGGCUAGUUGACUCUGUUGAUCUUCCUGUGGAGUUCCUGUCCCCUUCGAGGCCUACAAUCCUUCCUCCUGUUCUUCCGUAAGAGCCCCCAGCCUGCAUCCCCUCUUUAGCUAUGGGUGUCUGUAUCUGUCUGAGUCAGCUGCAGGGUGGAGCCUCACAGAGGACAUUUUUCCCUAGAAAAUGUUAACCUGCCCCACUGCCACUGUGUUUAUGAGGGCUCAAGCUUGCAAUCCUCCUGCCUCAACCUCCUGAAUGCAGGAUGUGUGCAUUGCACUGAGUGUAUUUCUAAAGUCAGAUUGUGUGUUGCCAUCCUACUGUUGAAGCACAAGUGGUCGUCCUCCGGACACGUCACUCUUUAAGUAACAGCUGUGAGAGGUCUAAUGGGCAUGCUGUCCUCAGAGGUAAAGCCAGUUGUGCAGAAUCUUCCUGCUGACAAUCCUGUUUGGUUGUGAGACUGUGUUCCUUUAAAGUGGUUUCGUGGUUAAGAGCACUGGUGCUCAUCCAGAGGACCAGGGUUCAGUUCCCAGCACCCACAUGGCAACUCACAACUGUCUGCAGCUCCAGUUCCAGGCCCUCUGACACCCUCACACAGACAUAGGUUUAUACAGACAAAAUGCCAAUGCACAUAAAAUAAAGAUAAAAUCCUUUUAAAAAUUAAAACAAAAAAGAAUGUGUUUUCUGUUGACAUCUCAGACCUUCAGCACUGAUUGCCAGUUCCCUCGGGUCAUGGCUGCCUGCUCCACCUGAGAUACAGACAGUGCACAGUACAAGGCUUCUCCACCUUUCGGUGACCCAUUUCCACCUGAAAAAAAUAAAGAUAUAUAAAAUAGGCAUUCCGAUCUAUAAAUAAUAAAUUAUUGAUGUGUUUUAAGAUAAUUUUCUUACAUAUGUAUAAUUUUUACCACUUAUUAAAGACAGAGAGGCUAGAGAGAGAGAUGGCUUAGUGGUUAAGAGCACUGGAUGCUCUUCCAGAGGACCAGAGUUCAGUUCCCAGGACCCAUGUCAAUGGAUCAACAGCCACCUGCAAAUGUCAGCUACACAUACACACACUCACACACACUCACACACACACACACACACAGAGAGAGACAGAGACAAGAGGCAGAGGAGAGAGAAGAGAGAGGGAGGGAGACAAAAGUACAUCUGUAUAGUCAUGAGGUGGAUGCUUCCCUUUUUUUGCAUAAAGAAUUAAAUCUUGGCUGGAUGUUGUUAAAUCAUGCCUAGAGCAUCUUCAACAUUCUUCAGACCUGAUCGAUAUUUUGAUUUUAUAAUCAUCGGGGUUGGGAAUGCCACUUUUCAUGAAUACAUACUACAAAGCAACGGAGAAUACAUACGUAGGGCCACUUCUGAAAUUGUUGGAAAUUCUGUCCCAAGCCAAAAUGAACUUAAUGAUUUUAUUCUUAGUGAAAGUCAAGUGAGGAACUCCAGCGGAAGUCCCUAACAUCAAGUAUUAGGUCUAGCUGCAUUUCAGAGAUAAACUAAUUUGACACCGACACUCUGAGGAGUGUAAACACUAAAAGUCCCUGUUUUCUGUAUUUCCAUUAUUUUAUAUAUGAGUUCAGUGUAAAUGCUGUAGUCAAGAGCGGGCCAAAGAGCAGGGUCUACUGUGUAAGAACCGCACUGUAGAAGAGACCUGUCAGGUAAUGAAUGGGUGGCUCUCUGCUUCCCACCUCAUGAUGGAAAUAGACAACCAAACAAGUGUAAGAAGAAUAAAACUCCGUCGAUAGCUAAUUCAGUCAGAAUCCUAGGGGCAAAGCUAAUAGCGUGCUUAGGCUGGUCACUAGAGACUUACCUCCAGAGACAAGAGAAGGGACCUGGAGAGGAAGUGGAGAGGGCGGAGUGUCUGUGGCAGAUGAUGUAGUCACCCUAGGGGCACAGGUGCAGAGCAGCCAAGGUAGCUAGUCAAGGGAGUGUCUCACCAGCCUCCUCGCCUCCUUACCCCUCUCCUCAGUAUGGCUCUACCAGGAGCCAAACACCUGAGACUUGGAGCUGCUAGGCCUACACACGCCUGCUCUAUGGGGCCUCUCGCACAACCCUGAAGAAAAAAAGCAGCCCGUUGUCCUCUGUCUUUCACAUAUGCCGUAGACCAGAAGUCAGAGAGCUAAGGGAUGUACUGCUCGCUAAUGGAGCCCCAGGACUUCCUGCAUGCCCUGGGUGCCAUCCCCAGUUGCAUGACAAGAGCUGCUCCUUGGGUUUCCUGACAUGUUUCCUCUGUGAUUUUGGUGGGCUGAAAGAUCAUGUCAGCAUUUAUGUUGCUUUAGCUUCAGAAAUGGUGCCCAGCGGGGGCCUCAGUAUAACAGAAAUAGCCGCUCUAGCUCUCCCCUGCACUCGUCUUCUUGGACAUGAGCAUUAGUUAAGUCUCUACCACCUGGCAGAGAGAAGACGCCAAACUUAGCAGAGCCGGUGUUCUGAUCUUAAUACUGACAUGUAUGUGCACAGACGCUAUGCUGAAACCUGUUGCUUGUAUGCUAAUCUAAAACUUAAUAGUAAAGUGAAUCAGAUGAACACAGUAAAUUACAGGAGCAGUGACUGUCACUUUAAACGUUUUUGUAAAUAUUUAGGACUCCCACAUGGUAAUUUGGCAAUCAUAUCUAGGGAUUAUCAGUGGAUUUUGGGAGAUCAGGCCCCUUCGUAGGCUCUUAACUAUAGGCAUCAAAGGAAUCCCAAGAUGUGGAGGUUGGGUAGUGCCUGCCCACCCCCUCUGAUCCCCUACCCUGCCCUGUGAAGCCUCAGAGGAGGGGGAAGCAAAGUCAAGACAGUAAAUGUGCCCUCUCCCAUUGUGUAUCGUUUCCACAGGUGGCACAGUAGAAGCCACCGUCCUCUCCCCUCAACACCUGUUCCCUCUCAUGUUCACAUGAUUACACGAUCCCACUUCCCGCCCCAUCACCAGCACUACCUGAAAAUACCUGUGGUGUUCUGUAUCUGGCGGAGUUUAAUCUAUGGAGGAAUGAUUACACAUACUGAAAAAAUUGGUUGUGUCAUUUAGGUGUGAUAAUCAUGGACCAAUGAGCAGCUUAGAAAGGAUGGGAAGGGAACUGAGCCUUGUCGUGGACCUCUGGUAACAUAGAGAAUGGCCGUACAGGGCGGAUGGCAAGUAUAGUUGAUGCCAGGUGGCCGUCACAUACUAGGUGGUCCUGACUAGUUGAGAGUGUCAGUGGAAGCCUGGAGGAGACGACUCUGGGUUAGAAGGGAGCUGUAAGAGCCAGGCAGUUCUGAGAGACAGUGGCCCAGCACUGCAGUGAGGUGCAGUGAGGUGCAGUGAGGCUAGGCUGCAGUUGAAUAUGGAUUCUGAACGAGCCAAGUAACAUCUUCCGUGUCCCGGGACUGGACUUACAAGUGCGUGCCUGGGAAAGCUUUGGACACUGGGGAGUUCCUGGGUCUCUAAUGACUUAACUGUGGGCAUUGUCAAUAAAUUGUGAUACCUUCUGGAUUCCUUCCUAACUACCAUCCAACAGUGAGGUCAUGUGUCAUUGCUGAAAGGAAGCCACAGCCAGGGAGCUCUGCUCCGGAGCCCAAGAUUGGUGGUCCUCAUUAGUUUUACCACAUUCAUGCAAGUUUGCAUCAGGUGCUAAUUUCCGUUUCCCCGGUGAGGAGGCUGAAGGAGAGAGAGGUUAAGUGUCUUUCUUGUCCAGGGUCAGAUUGCUGGUAGGUGACAGAACUGUCUCUUGAUUUUCUUUCCACCAGGCGGAAAGCAAGGCUUUGAGGUAUGGGAAGCGCGUUUGAAUCUAGGAGUGGAGCAUACUGAAAAGCCUCCUUGAAUUUCUCAGAUUCCACGGAUAAGACCCGGGCUUUCAUAGAGGUCUGAACAUCUAGAAGUUGUGUGGCAAAGAUCUUUUUCUUAAAAACCAGGACCUGUCUCAAUGUACCCAAUCUUAUUCUACAACAGUGUCUGUGGAAUUCCUAGUCUCCCCCCACCUUCCCCAAGUUCACAGAGUUUUGUGCAAAAGGUCUCAACGGGAAUUUAUUUCCCCCUCAUCUCAUUCCUUUAGCGCUUUCUGGGUCUUUACUGAACCAUUGAGUGGUUGAUUCUGAAUGGCUGUUAAAGGAUUAUCCCAGGCAAGUUUGGCAGCUGGCCUGGAAGGAAAGGGACUGUGAAGUCUCCAUCCCUGGCAGCAUGGAGAUUGCCUAAUCAGCAACAUGAGACCCUGAACUUAACCUAUUUUUGAGCAGGCACGUAUGUUGGGGCAGGGGACGUCCUGACUCAUUGAGUUGUACCAAAAGUCAAAAAACCAAGAAUCCCACCGUGUUCCCAAAGAUAAUACUAUAGUGUAGUGGUUUUGAUUCUCCGCCCAAGGCUUGCCAGAGACUGACAGGGUCUCCACCCUUGAGCUAUAGGUUCUGGGAGACGCCACGGGGCCCUGAUGGACUCCAUAACCAUACACCGGAUUGGCUUUCCAAAGGGAGUCCUCAGGCAGCUCCCUCCAGCUUCCCAGAGAACAAAGCUGCUGAAACUGAGCAGGGCUGAGCUUGGUCUAGACAUUGACAUUGCGUAUUGGACACAGUUGACUCAAAAGCCAUCCUGCAGGGUACAGUUCGUCCAUCACAAACACACACAAGCUGUAAGCACUCUCAGAUCCUUUGUGGGAGUCAGCAGGUCGGAAGUAAACAAGGAUGAGUCGAUGACUGCAGGGGAAGCCGGAACAGAGGAUUCCCACCACGACAGACCUGCCAAUAGGAGAGGGGUUUUGGUCUUUUUGUAAGUCCACACAAACUAACAGGGUUAACUUCAGGACCAUGAAAGUGCGUUGAGCACCUACUGAAUGCCAAGUGCUGUGCUUGAUACUGUGUGGGAACUACCUCCCCUGAGCCGGGGAGCAGUGAUGGAGACAGUGGAAAGCAGUGGCUGGUACCAGAACAUCCUGGUUGCCUGGGAGACUCCACAAAGGGACAAAGUAUCCCCAUUGCAUUUGAUAGAGUGUGGAAUGUCUUCUCUCCUAAAGCAUGAAAAUAGAGGAACUCUGUUAAGGGAAAAUGAGAUCAGCCCUUAGGAGGUGGCUUAGAACCCUUUCAUUGUCCUUAGGAGACGGCUGUGGGACAGGACAAGUGAUCAGUUCCCUGUGCCCCACCAUACGGGAGAAUAAAGCUAUUCCUGGAAGACUUCACUUUGGAAUCCAGAUAUGCAACAGGCCUCCACACCUUGCUGUUUGCCUGGCCUUGGAAGUGAUCUUCCUGCCUAAGGAGCUCUGUCAGUCCCCCAUGCCUCCAAAGAACCAGUGAUAACAUGUUUUCCUCUGCCCAGCUGGGGGCUCCUGGGUCUGCUGGCAUUCCGCAGUCAGGAUCUGCCUUGAAGUCUUCACACGCUGUGGCUGUCACUUAACUCUGUGAUGAAGCUGUAACUCCUGAGACCAUGAUCCCAUCUAGGGGAGAGCAGGGGGUUCUCAUGCUGUACCCCUCUAGUCUCUGCAGUCUAAUUCAUCAGCUGCUUCCUGCACCGCAUCUUGCCCUGCCUCAUAGGCUUUUCUCUCAAGCUUUUGAAUAGGCCAUGAUGGUCCCUUCCCAAAUCACGGGAUCCAUUGUCACCAUUCUCAGACACCUACAAAGCCACAGCAGGACUGUCACUGCCCUGAACCAUGUCAUCCCUGUGGGUAGUCAAGGAUGAGGGUCCUUCCAUUUCACAAGUAUAGAGAAAAGUUCCAUAAAGCAGUGAUGUCCCCCAGACACAGAUGGGGGCUGACAUCAGAGGCUCUGUUAAGCCUCCAGGUCAGGGUCGUCUGUGUUUAGCUUUGUGCCUGGUCAUUUGCUUGGGCAUAGACCCUAGAGGUACCGCUUCCCUGGUCCAUUGGGUUUCUUUGGAGCACAGCCAGGCUCAGCAGGGCCCUUGCCCUCUCUGCUCUUGAGAGUGGGAAACAACCCUUCCCAAACUGAUCUCCUUCUGGCUUCUUUGCAAACAUAUUUCUUGUGUGUGUUUGCCCUGAUUUGGGCAGAGUAAAGGCUCAGUUCACUGCCCAGCUGCUUUGUAGGUGAUUAGAACAUACAGGAUUAGCCGCCGACUGACUGACAGGGGCAGUCUCUCUCCCAGUUUCUUUAGAAACAUAAGCAGUUUUUGUGUUCACCCUUAGGAUGAGAAUACUUGUUCUUUUUGUUGUUCUGGAUGAAGGGAGUGAGCAUUUCAAGGGCAGUUUGGAGUUAGCAGGAAGGCAGGGAGUGAUUGGUUGAGCCCUCUGUCAUUUACAGGAUUCCUGCUUCACUUAUUCGGGUACAGAUCAAAGACCUGGCCGCCCUAGCGCCAGUUCUGAUCAUGGCGACCUCUUGUUUUAUUGAGAUGUGUUGCUUAGGCCUUAGAGAAGGUGUGGUUCCCAGGAAGCUUGCGUUUGUUUAGCGCUCUGCAGCUCUCUUCCUCCCUCUCAGCCACACCCUCUUCUCAUCUCAGACAAAUAAGGAGCAUCAGGUAUGAAGCCGUGGGCAUCUCCCCCAUGAAAGAAGGGAGAGCAGCGGAAACUUUAGCAGCCAUUGCUGCGCGCACACACAACUUAACUGGGGGCUUCUUUAGUACGCAGGAGAUGGAGGAAAUUGGCCAUUUUUCUGUGAGGUAAUGGGCUUUGUGAAAUAUGAAAAUCUAUCAAAUGGUUACAUGCAAUGACUUUAUAUAAGAGUUCAUGAAGAGCGCCUACUGCACACAGUUUAAUUCUAUUUAAUUUUUUAAGGGGGGAAAAAGCAAAGGGAAAUGUUUUAGUUUCUCUUAAGCUGAUUUCUCUCUGCCUUUUCUUAAAAGUGCCUUUCUAGUUACCACACAGUGAUAUGAUCAUUAUCGGCCACCUCGUCGCCCUGCUGCCUCUGCAUGCAGUAAAACACGAAAAAAAGAGAGAGAGAAACCAGGGGAGCUUGUGAAGUAUGACUCCCCAUCCCAAGACUCAUUGCCCACGCCUCGUACCGCUUGACAGUAAUGAUCUUAUUACAGCACUGUGGACCUUGAAGAGAUUCCGAGAGGAGAGUAAAAGGACGGAGGCUAGUGUAAUCAAGUGGCGCUGAAUAUUCCACGCGUUUUUGAUCACAUACUGAUUGGGCACAGUUUUAGCCCAUCUUCUAGUCAAUUAUGCAUGGCCCCUGUGCUCCUCGGAUAGGCAGGAACAUUGAUGGCUGUUGUCUGGCUUUGGCAGGCAGCCAGGAGUUUGAAGUGCCUCGCGCACACACACCGUCUUCAGGAUAAGUGCCUUUUAGUUGGAAUUGAUUACCUUUCUUGGGGUUUUGCUUAAUAGCAAAACUGCAUUUGGAGAGGGCUUCAGGUGAAAAAUGGCCGAUUAGCCAUUUACAGCAUCCGAACUCCUAGUCAAUUUUUAGACCCCCUUAGUUUUCUCAUUUCUGCUUAAUGAUGUAAUGUUUGCUAAUAUGUGGGACACCUCACCACGUCUGCCCCCUGGCACACGUGUUGAGCGUGCUGGAUAGGUUUGGUCACAUGGCUACCUCUUUCAGGCCCCCAGGCAGAUCCCAGCUUUGAGGUGAUCUGUUGAUCAGUUCCUGUGGUCUCCGAAAAGGAACCCAAAGACACUUUCCUCUGCGGGAAAUGGAUGUCAGUUCUCCUUGCUGGGGCUGCCUGCCUGUACGUGGUGACGCUGCCCUUGCUAGUUUGAGGCGAGUUUUACUGCUUUUUGCCACAAAGGAUUUUUGUCUUUUUGGCUUGAUCCUAGAGUCCAGGCAUAUUUGGAAGGAUGGAAUGCUGCAAGAAUGUUGGGUUGCCUGAUUUGAAGAGCACACAAACAAAUCAUCACAUGUCUAGGAGACUGGGAAGCCAAGAAUUUUGCUUCCUCCCGUCAAAUUCUUAAAUACGAUUCUUGACAUAUAUAUGUAUAUACAUACACACACACACACACACACACACACACACACAUAUAUAUAUAUAUAUAUAUAUAUAUAUAUAUAUAUAUAUAUUUCUAGAACGAUCAGGCAGGAAAAUUUCAAAGUCCCUUUUCAUGUUUUCGUGCGAGGCCACAAAAUUGGACGCCACAGAGUAAGUUAUCCACAUAGCACGUUCUGGAAAAUAUUUUGAAGUCCCUAAAAGCAUGGCGUCUGGGAGGGAGCCUCCAGUCACAGAGCUGGGACGUGAACUAAGCGGCCGCCUGCUCUGCUGGGCACUUCAAUAACUUGAUUUGACUCUUCCUAACGAGAUAAAUUGGAAGCUUUGUUCUCCUACUUGAUUUUCAUUUGGGUCUUUCAUGAUAUCUGCAGGUGAGAAUUGCUUUCCUCUCCAGUCAGCACAGUAAAAGCCGUGAUGUAUCAUAGGCACGGCUCCCACGCCUGCCCUGAGAGAAACCACCAGACAGUAGAAUAAUGUCCCAUAAGAAUUCUGAUUUGCUGAUGCCUUUUAACAGAAAACCAGCCACAACACGAGAAGUCUGUGUUGACAUUCUGUUAACGGUGGGGUUGGGGUUGCCGAUAGUUGCCAGACAGACACUGCUGUUAACAGAGUUCUGUGUGUCCUGUCGUAAUCCCUAGAAGCCUUCAGGCAGGUGCCGUUACUCCUGUUUUUAUAGCUGAGGAAACUGAGGGUCGUAAACUUUAACUAACUUGCUCAAGGCCACAGACAUAGCUAGUCUUACCUCAGAUACACACAGAACAGAACGCACGCACCAGUGGUCUGCUUACGGCUUCCAGUUGCCUCCACAGUGACCUUCCCUCCUUGGGAAGGCCACGUUUGCCCCUUCACUUCAGAGCUUGCCUUACCUAACCGUCCUGUGGAUUCAGUUCAUACAAAAGAAAGGAUGACCCAAAGGGAUGUUUCUCCUCCAUUUUAAUAAGCUGCUAACUAACCUCUCAAAAAUGCAACUUGACCGGUGACUGUGCAUCAGCGGAUGAACAAAAUAAGGGUGGUUUCACCUCAGGGGGUGAAUCCACUUCCCAGGAUUAGAUAGAAUUACGGAGCUGGUAUACCCUAGGGGAAAGGUUUGUUAAGGGAAUGCAGAACAAUUCUCACAACUGUCUUGGAGUUCCUGCCAGUCAGUCAUGCAGUUUGAGGUCUGUUAGCUCUUUCCUUGAUCCCUCGUAGCGUUAAGUUAGCCUCCCAGACACUACUAGUGCUGUGAUCUGAGGUAGAAGAUGUGUAUGAAGGAUCCACCUGGCUGCAGGGAGCCUGCCUCGAGUAGGUUGCAGAAAGUCCCUCCUGUGAUGUAGUGGCUGUCAGUCUUGCUGAACGCCUGAGUGUAUUUGCUUGUCCUUGGCUUGUGGGUGAAGACUGAAGAUAAAGUGCCCAGCCCCUUCCUUCCCUUGCCAUCCCGGCAUGGGGAUGGGACGCAGAAGUGUCUUACCCAUGUUUGUCAGGGAAUAGCUUGGAAUACUAAAUCAGCCAGUUCAUGGGAAAGAAGAACAGACAACCCCACACCCCUACUCCAGCCCUGUCCCAUCAGACAGGAUUCAUCUCGUCAGGAUUGGCCCCAGUCUGACUUUAACAGGUAAACUGGGUUUCUUCCACAUGAGGGUAAGGGUUAUAUCCAUGGGUUUGCUCAGGGUGGGGUCUCUUCCAGGCUCUUCUAUCAGAUGAGUUGAAUGUUACAGUAAAUGUAUUUGCCAGGUGCAAUUGUCAUCUCCAAGGCUCACCACCUCAGUCUGCUAACCUGGGCCUAGCCCUGGGAGCUCCUAGCCUUCAUACAAUCUUAUCCAGGCCUAGAAUAUUCUCAGCCUCUGAGACUUGCUGCUGAAUAAGCUCACACUUUGCUGUUUUUUUUGUGAUCUCUGGUUGGCUGGUUCAACCCUACUAUUUGGAUUCAAACUCCUCUCCAAACUGACUGAUUCAAUCUGCUCCCUCCCAACCCCACCCCAACGCUGGCUGCCUCUUGGAUUGCUCUGCUUGGCCUUAUGCUAACUCUGUCAAUCUGUUCUAAUCUUCUGUCUCAUUCUCUGGCUCGUUCUGUCCUUACCCGUGUCUAGCUUGUUCUCUCUGCAACCUGUCACUUCACAACUCUCCCAGUAAAACUGCCUCCUCUCUCUCUCCACUGCCCUCCUAAGUAGCUUCCCUUUCCUCUCUCUUCUCAAGAGAGCAGUGCAUAUCUACUGUCAAAUUGUUCUCUGAUUGGCCACUUUGUCUGCCACUCAGUUAAACAUCACUUUCAAACAUGGGGCUUCCCUCUUCAAACUAAUUUUGCUUUCAUUGUUUGGGAGUGAAGGUGUGUACUCAGGGCAGGUCUGUAUUCCCACCAGAGGGAUUAAAGUUGUAUGAGGCUGAACCACACCACAAGUAGAAAAGGGUUUUUUCACUGUGUGACCAAAUAUCCUGCAAAUUGAAAGGCAAAUUGAAAGGCAUGGAUUUUAGGCCAGAUCUAAUUGUUGGUUUCAUUUCAGAGUACUAAAAAUGCACUUUGAAUGCUCCUCCCUAUGAAGAGCCAUGAAUACACUGUAGAACCUUGUUGAAGGUUACUUUCUGUAGCCUCCAAGGUCUGCAGAGAUGUGGUCAGCUGAGAGAGAGCCUGCCGUCGUGAUAUGGUCUCCCAGGAUAUGGGGGUUGGAGGAAUCCCCUGGGAGAGGGGGAAUGGGCAGGAAAGGGGGCGAAACUCAGUGUGGGCCAGGCAGCCACAAGUGGAGAGAAACUCCAUCGGUAAGCAGCAUGGGCCGUUCUUCUGUGAGACUUGAGGGCACAUGCCUGGCCACACCUCAGCUCCAGCAUUUGAGUUGAGUGCCCUUUUGAGAGCUGACCCUGUGCUCUCCAUGUUCCCCUGGGUGUGAGAAGGCUGCUCACCAGGUGCAUGUCAGUGGCCCGGGCCCCGUUUACAGUAGCAUCACUGUCUGCUGCCUCAUCAGCCCACGUGGAAACUCUCUCGCCCUGAGCCUUAGCUCCUCGCUGCUCCACUCCCUGCAGCCAGGCAGCUCCUUCCCCCUCUCUGCUUUGCAGGACCCGCCUGUUUUAAAUGGUGUCUGAAGAGGAGGAUCCAUUCCUAUGUCUUUCUUUGGCUUAGUAUUCUUGUGUUUGAAGUUGCUGCACGUGUGUGCCACUUUCUUUUUUCUUUUUAUCGAGGAAGUUUGUUCUCUGACAGUGUCACAGUUCUAUGGGAUGCAUUGUUUACUGUUACCCACGCCUCUCUAGAGCCUCUGUUCCACACUCUCGUCUUUGAACGUCUUGAGUUGGAUUUGGUUUCAGGACUGCGUUGCACCUGUUUCUCACCUUUGAUGGACACUUGGGUUGCUUCCGCCUCCCCACGGUCAUAUGUGAUGCUAUGGUGAACUUCCCCAGAUGUUUGCCUGUGAAUGGCUGAUUUCAGUAUUCACAGUCAUAUACAUAUACCUAGGAGCAGAAUUCCCAAGCCCCGUGGUAGUUCUGUUUAGCUCUCUGUUCUUGGCAUCAGUCUUGCUUUACUUUUUCAUGUCUAGUAUAGAAUCGCAGAAGCUCUUGUGAAUAGGCUCCCUAUGAAUUACAAAUAUUCCUGUCUUAAAAUGUUACAAAUAUACCCCCAGGUAACAAUGGGCCAAAAGAAAAUACCCAUGUAUUUGUAAGCAGUGCCUUCCCCCCAAACUGUGUGGUGUGUGAGACAGACAGACAGUUGAGGCACCUCCUUGCUGCCAUGUAGAAAAUGGAACCCAAACUUUGGUCUCCUGCAAGAGCAGCUAGUGCCUUACCACUGAGUCAUGCUACACUGUUCAAAUUCUCCUUUUUAUUAGAUCUGGGGUUCCAGCUCCAGGUUGGCUGUCUCGCCUGUUCUUACUAGGUUUCUAGUGCUGUGAGAAACACCAUGACCAACAGCAACUUGGGAGGAAAGAUUUUAUUUCAGUUUACAGUCCAUCAUCCAAGGAAGUCAGGGAAGGAACAUAGUGGCAGGCUUAAAGCAGAGGCCAUGGAGGAAUACCACCUUCCUGCCUAACUCCCCAUGGCUUACUCAGCCCUCUUAUACCACCCAGGACCACCUGCUUAGGGGUGGCACUGCCCACAGUGGGCCGAGUCCUCCCGUGUCAGUCAUUAAUCAAACAAAAAAAUGCCCUCAGUCUUGCCCAUGGGCCAGUCUGAUGGGGGCAUUUCUUUCUCGAGGAUCCCUCUUCUCUGAUAAUUCUAGCUGUAUCAGGUGGACAAAAAACCAGCUGUCACACCUAGAAACAUUCCCCAGAGACACACAUGGAGACGCAUCUCCUGAACAGUUGUAACGCCCAGCAGGUUGACAGCCGGAGUCAGCCACCACACUUGGGUUCAGUGUUGUGACUAGCCUCUGGGGAUUUAGCAGGACAGAUAUUUUUAAAGACUAUACGCCUUUCUUUCUUCUCGUUCUUUAAGGGGUCGACAUAAAAACAUUUUCAGUACCCUCUGCCGCCUUCGUGGUCUGCAGCCACAUGCAAUUCCUCACAGGAUUUAUGAUGUCCAGACAACACGGGAAACCAGAAGGUUGUGUGGUUUUAAGACAUGGGUGCAAAGAGCCCUUCGGUGCAAGGCAGUGUGCAUGGCAUCACAUAUCACUCAAGCAGUUUCAAGUAAGGAAGCAGAGUGCAGGGAAUUUUUUUUUUUUUUUUUGGUUCUUUUUUUCGGAGCUGGGGACUGAACCCAGGGCCUUGCGCUUCCUAGGCAAGUGCUCUACCACUGAGCUAAAUCCCCAACCCCAAGUGCAGGGAAGUUUUAAGUACCUUCAUCCCGCCUGGGGUAAUCUGUGGAGCUUGGUACAAAUGGCAUCAGAGUUCCCAACAAUUGUGCUGGUCCUUGUCUCUGUCAGCACUGGGAAGAUGAAGCCAUUACCCAAGGUUGUCUUGCCCCAUGGACAGCCCCUUAGUCUAUUGACAAGCAUUCUCUGCUGUAUGUCAUGUAAGGGCUUCAUCUUUCCUCAUUAGCUUGGCUUUGGAAAGCGUUCAACCUCUGGAUGUCUUGGUAAUGCGGACUUGAAUCACGAAGCAGCCAGCAUCCAGAUUACAAAGCUUCCAGAUUUUUCUGUUACGGUUCAGAUAUGUGUGAGUCUGCCCAGCAACUAUCCUCAUCUUCUAGAGGGCCCAGCCUGUGCAGACAGGCAGGCAGCCAUGUACGAACAGGGCACAAGGCAGCCCCAGCAAUGGCAGGAAGAUGCUUUCAGCAGUGGUUGGGAGCCACAGCCAGGAGCUCUGCUGAGGUAACUGGCUAGAUCCUUGAAGUGUGGGUACAGAUCUUAUUGGCUCAUGCUACUUAGGGCAUUUUCCCUCCCAAGUUUCCUACAGCAUCCUGAGGCCACCUAUCUGUGACGCAGCAGAUAGAAAUGUUGGCAGACAAGCUGCUCCCCAAAGAGGUGGCUCCUCUCUCCAAGGCCCCUGGAACUCUCACUCAGUAUGUAUAGCUCAAAAAAUGAGUUUAGCCAAGAAUCCUGUUUGUAGAUACAAGGAAUUCUCAUCACUGAGCAGCAGCUGGGAGUUAUAAUGACUAACAGCUGACAGACAGUUCAUACCUGCAGCUGACAGACAGACACACAGUGCACACCUGGUCCUUUUGUAGAAGGGCGUGGCAACCCUCUCUGGGUCUGUGGUACAUUGGACUGCACUGUGGAUGAUGGUUGAUCCCAUCCAUUUAUGAGAUUGAAAAUCUAAGGACAGCCAGGGGUGGCUGUACAGUCUGUUACCCCAACAUUUAGGGGAGAAAGGCAAGGGGGCCAGGAGUUCCAGAUCAUCUUCAGCUACAUUGGAAUUUCCUGUGCUACAUUGAGCCUGACUCAGUAAACAACAAUUUUCAGAAUGAAAGAAAGAAAAUCCGAAGAAACAGACUAGCCUUGUGCUUCCUGACAUCCUGGCUAAUACCAGCCUUUGGAGGACAAAGAGCAUCUCCCCAGGCCUUCAUGAAUAUGCUAAAUUGAUUUCUAGUGUAUUUUUCUCUGUAAUUAUGGUUCUCAGUGACAUAAGCCAGACACAAAACCCAGGACAACCUGAAAUGAAAAGUUUUGUCAGAAAAUAAUGCAGUCUACCUUUUGAGAUCUGGGGUACGCCACCAGACUUGAACCCUGUGUUCUGAGGCGAACUGAAGACUACAGUUUGUAUUACUUAAUUUUUAAAACAUACCAAAAAAAAAAAAAAAAAAAAGGCAUGGAGCGAGACCUCAUUCUCCACGUGGGCUAGCUGGUGAGCAAGUGGAGCGUGAUUGGUUUAAAGCCCAGAUCCUCAUAUACGCUACAUAGAUCCUGGAUGGUGCUUCCCGGCGCAGGGGCGCUGUGAGGACCUUAUGCCUCACUCUGCAUCCUCAUAUUUUGUCAACUUGACACAAGCUUAGAGUCCUCUGGGAGGAGGAAAACUUCAACCGAGGAAAGCCCUCCGUCAGGUUGGCCUGUAGGCCAGUCUGUGGGGCAUUUUUCUUGAUGAAUGAUUGAUGUCGGAGAGCCUAGAGCACUAUGGGCCAUACUCUCCCUUGGCGGGUAGCUAUGCCAAACCAUGAGGAGCAAGUCAGUCCGCAGUGUUCCUUCAUGGCCCGUGCAUCUGUCCCUGACUCCAGGUUCCUGACUUUAGCUUCUGCCCUGAUUUCCCUUCAUGAUACACGGUAAGCUGAAAUAAACCCUUUUCUCCCAAGUUGUUUUGGUCAGAGUAGGACAUAGUAAGGCUCUGCAGCACACAGCCCUGCCACUGACACCCAGAUGGAUGUGCGCCAGCCUCUGCUCUGCUGCGUCUCUGGACUCAAGCGUCUUUUCCUUCUUCCAAUAAGACCGCACAUUUCUAGUGUGCCAGAGUCUGUUUUUAUUGGAGUCUAUUACAUUUGGUGUGUUUUCCUGCAUUCCUUCAAGUUGGUAGGUAGCAUACAAGGGUGUUCCCAAUAACCUCAUACAUCAUGGUGGGCAGGAGUUAUGUACGACUUGUAAAGCAUACCUCAGGGUUCCUUCCUGUCGUGCAGAUGAAGCCUUUGGUACUUAUCCAAAUGAGUGACACCUGAGUGGCAGGUAACCAGAAGCUCGUUCUUCCUCUCUGGGUCCUGACAAGUUCAUUACCAUCACCAUCAAAGGCACCAUAGACUGAGUUUACUUUCUAGUGAGCCAGCACCUGACCCUGGCCCUGACCUUGACCCACUCAGGAGGCAAGAGAGCAAGAAAUCCAAUUCCCCAUGUUCUCGGAAGAUCAUGAUGAGUGUAUUGGAUAUUUUUUAACCAAAACGUGCAACAGCCUAACUGCAGUGGAGUGAGGGUAGUGUUCAGAGCUUGUCAGUUAAGCCUCGUAGUAAGGAAAGGGGUUGUGAGGGCAGCACUGCCUUACACUGGGACAGCUCCGAUAGUCACCUUGACGCUGCAUGUCAGAUCUUGCCAGGGAUGUGUGAGCUCUACAGAGUGGACCGGAAGUCACCUGCACUCUGAGCCCAUCGAAGGUUCUCUCUCUGACUUGGGGGCUGUUGCUCUUCCCUUUUCUCUUACCGGGCCCCCAAAAAUCCAUUGUGCAAAUUGAUUUGGAGAUCGCCCUUGAUGAAAGAGCAGCCUCAGCCCUCCCAGCCUUAGAGCGGCAUCAUUAGCCAUCUCUGAUUGUUUGGUUGUACGCACCGAAGUGUCUGCAGCAAGCUUGAAGAUGCGCAGAGAUUAACUGGGGGCUCCCCAGCCGUUUGUCACACAAAUAGCAGUGCCAGGAAACUGAAAGAUGAUAAAUCAUUUUUCUCAGAAUUGAAACCUUUUAUCAGUUGUGUCGUUUUCAUUAUUCAAUAAAUGAUUAGUAGGAGCUUUGCCACUUAGUCAUCCAUGCUUAACAGCCGCACACUGCUGCUGCCAGUAGGGCAGAGUGUCACAACUACACAUGCGCAGGAAGCCCACCUCGCCCUCCUCUCUCACGCAGCCAAGCUGACCUCACCACUGCCUGUCACUCACGCAGCAGACUAGAGUUGGGAAUUACCAGGCAUGUUUUGAGUCCUUAAAGUUGGGCUUUGACAUAGAACGUUCCUGCUGUAGUUGGUGUGUGUGGUGUUUGGAGCCAGGGUCUCACUGUGUAAUCCAGAUUGGCCUCGAAGUCGCUCUCCUCCUUCCCCGGUCUCCUGAGUGAUGGGAUUGAUUGCACAGGAGCACCUACACCCCUAGCUUACCCAGCUCUACCUCUGGGCAAACGGUUAGGAAGCCUUCAUUUACCUCCUCUUCCACCUUCUGUUCUAAUAUCUUUACCCUUCGAUGUAAACGUCAGCCAUCUCGAUUGGAGAGCUGUCCUCUUGUGCCUGUGGCAUUGGUAUGAGCAUGAGCUGAUGGUGCCCAGCCCCUGCUGGUCCUCACAGAGCCUAGCAUCUGGGGAAUGGAGGAUGCUGGCUGGCUCCCAGCCUACAUGAUAGACCUCCAGUGAUGUCCUGGCUAGUUUUGUUUUGUUGUUUUGUUUCUCAUCUUGACAUAAGCAAAAGUUAUCUAGGAUGAGAAACCCCUGCUGAGAAAACGCGGUCUUUGGAUGGCCUGUAGGCCAGUCUGUUGGUUAUUUUCUUGAUUAAUGGCUGAUGUCAGAAGGUCCAGCCCACUGGGCCAAUGCCAUCCCUAAGCCCCUGGACCUAGAUGACAUGAGAAAGCAGGCUGAGCAGGCUACAGGAAGCAAGCCAGGAAGCAGUGUUCCUCCGUGGUCCCUGCAUCAGCUGUGCCUCCAGGCCCCUGCCUUGAGCUCCCACCCUGACUUUCCUCAGAUGGGCUGUGCUGUGGAAUGAAAGGCGAUAAGCCCUCUCCUCCCCAAGGUGCUUUUAGUCGUGAUGUUUCAUCCCCGCAACAGAAAGCAGACUGAGGCAGAUGUCCUUCAUGUGCCUUCUAGUAAGCCUGUGUUCAUAUCCCAGUUAACCAGGAAACAGUCAUGUCAGACUGCUGCUGAAAUGUGGCUGUCACUGGGCAUCGGCAUUGUUCUUUAAAGUGGGAACUACUAAGAGAGACUGAGUGCAGCAUUUGCCUCUUCACCCAAGCAAAUGUAAUUGUGAGAAAAAAUGUUACCGCUCAUUGAAGACGGGGGUGAGGAAUAGCUAAGGUUGCAGGUCUUUUUGGAACGAGUGUGCAUUUGUAUGCAGUAGUGUGUAUGUAUCCUGUAUCUGUGAUCUUCCUUCCAUUUUGAAGAUAGUGACAUACAUAGAGCAUUUGUCAUGAACUUGUAAAUUUCAUGUUAUGUCCUUUCUCUAGCAGUGUGAUUAAAGGCCUGUUUUAUCCAGCCCAAUGUACAUGACUUUGUGUGCAGCAGAUCCAUAGUCUAUAUGCUACCCGCCUGGUAGUAUCUUGGGCCAUCACAGUUACAAAUACAUUGCCGUGUGCACAUCACCUUAAUUUUAUGUGUUAGCUGCAGAUACAAGAGGGAUGAUUACUGCAGUUUAAUUACAGAGUUUAUCAUUAGUUAUUGUUAGCAUUGAUAUAAUUAUUUUUAUAUAAUUAUAAUUAUAUUUAUAUAAUUAUUUUUAUUUUUAAUUUAUAUAUUUGUUUCUAGUUAUACAUACAUACAUAUGUAAUUAUAUAUACAUAUAAUAAUUUAAUUAUUAGUUAAUAGUUAAUUCUUAUUAUCUGUGCUUAUGUAUAGGAAAAAAAGCAAGAGAUGCACAGUUGAUGGUUGUCGCCAUUUUAGGUGCGUAUGGCAGGUUCUAGAAUGCAGCCCCCAAAGGAAGGGAGGCCCACUCCUUACUAUAAUGUAUAGAUUUUGAAAGAGCAUGGCAUAAUUUUUAAAUUCCCACGAAUUGUGUUUCUAACACUCUCAAAGACAUUCCUGCGCUGCCCUAAGUAAGGUUCACCUUGGAUGUCUCCUCAGAUCGGUUGGCAUCCUGUGAGGUCUCGUCAGUGUCUCUGGCUAUUGUUUUCUGCAGAUCAAGUAUAAGAUACCUGGCUUUACCUGGCCAACCUCUCUUAAGGCAUCUGUGUAAGAAAAGAUGGUUUCGUAGCUUCCAGGCUGCCCAACCCCCACCCCAGGACAUUAAUUUCCCAGAUGCAGUAACAACCUGUAUUCUUGGUGACUACUAAACUCCAAACCAUCUCAAAUGGACAGCUCCAUGGUGCCCUUUAGUCACGCUACCUCAGCCCGUCCUGGAGGAGGAAUGGCACCUGCACAGAGAGUACCCAGGUUGAGUCUCAGGCACUGACAAUGUUAACAGGUGGGAGGACUGGCCCCUGGAAGGCCAAAUAAGGAUGUUUAGUGUGAUCGAUGGCUGCCACCAUCUAUCACCUUCAUUUCUUGAAGAGAGACUGCCAACUCAGACAGGAGAGAGAGAACACCACCUCUAACCAAUAAAGCUAAUAACGUGCACUGCCUCAAGUCACAGGCCGCCUCUUGCCGUGGGCGAGAGAGGCUUCAUUUGGGACAGGUGCCUGGGAAGGUCUGUCCUGUUGGCAGUGUGGGAGAGACCUGGGAGGAAGGACUAGAGACUCUUCAGGGCUCUGUAGACAUCUCCUGGGCCCCCAUAAGUAGUGAGGAUGAGGAGCUGAGCCCACAGGCUCUGGAAUCUGGCUGAGCCCUGAGCCACCUUCCCCGUGGGAGAGCAGUUCUCUUGUGGGAAGGCUGUGGGAACUGAACUGAGAGGUAGCUGUGUGUCCAGCUUAUCACAGACCAGUGGUGGCGGUGACAGUGAUGGUGGCGAUUCUUAGGAGGGUGAUGCUGAUGAUGGUGAUGCUGAUGUUAGGAAAAUGGUGAUGGCGGUGGGAGGGAAGGAUGGUGGUGACGGAAGGAUGCUGGUAGUGAUGACAAUGAUAAGUGCUGAUAUGAUGGAGAAAGUGGGUGAUGGCAGAGUGACUGUAGCCACUGGUGACUUUGGCCGUGAUGGUGGAGGCGGUGAUGAUGGUGGUGGCAGGGGUACUGGUGGUGGCACAGCCGUCAUGGUCUGCUGGUUGUUAUGACAUUGGUGGGUGGUGAUGAGCCAUUGGGGAGCCUGAGGUUUGUAAAGCAAGGCAGUGUUUUGACUUCUCUCGUACUUGUCAGUAAUGACUUGAUCAUUUUGGGGCGCCCAAAUGUGAAUCUUCUACACCAGGCACGGAGCUUUAGACCAUGAAUUAGCAGAAGGCUAACAGCCAGUUGAUCCCUCUCCUAAUUGCUGUCAGAAGUAAGACCUUAAGGCCAGUCGUCAGGAUCAUCCUGCUCACUGCAUCCUUCCAAAGUUUGUUUACAGCUGUAGAUUUACAGCGUCUGUCAGGAUACACACCCCUCUGGGCUAGUCUUUGUCUCUGGAUCAUUGGACAGCCACAUGUUACAUUCUUAUCUUUAUCUCUCCAAUUAUAAAAUAAUACAGACUUGUGACAGCUCCUAUAGUAAGGCAGAUAGUGUAAGGGAAAAGUUGUUUGGAAGCUAAGGGAGGAAGCAUAUUCCUGUAGGAAUCCCAGAGCUUGGGAGGGUGGAUAACAAGUCUGCAGGCCGAUGGGAGUGUGACUUGUGGGUAAGAGCAGUGUCAUGCAAGCAGGAGGACCUGAGUUCAUAUCCUCUGCACCUACAUAAAAGCCAGGUGCGACCACGUCCCGGUAGCCCCAGUGUUGGAGGACUAAGACAGCUGCAUCCCCGGAACUCACUGGUCAGUGAGCCUAGACACAAUCGCAAGCUUCAAGUUCAGUGUGAGAGCUUGUCUCAGAAAAGGAAAGCAGGAAGCAAUAGAGGAGGGAGAGCACCGGCCUCCUCCUCCUCCAGCAUGCACACACUCUCAAUAGAUGAUUUUUUACGGACUUCUAGGCCAGCCUCUUCCACAUAGUAAGAUCAAAGCCAAUCCAGGCUACAGAAGACCCUAUCUGAGAAAGGGAGGAGGAGGAGCGGGAAGGAGGGAGGGAGAGGAAGUUGGUUUUGGAGGGAUGGUGCCACGUCUUGAUACUUUCCUCACUCUAAACCUCCUCCUAGACGUUCAUCAUGGCCCUUCUUGUAAAAGGAGGUCUGCACCAGCUCUGCCAUAACCACCAGGAGCAUGGCAAACAGGCCACCUGUGGUCCUGUCCCUUCCAGGGAGGCCUUCAGUGAGGGAAAGGAAGGUUGACUGGAGAUGCCAGCUGCUUCGGAAGCAUAGCAGGUGGAGUGGUAGCAUUUGCCCUCGUAGGGAUGCAGAUUAACGGAGCUGUGUUUGCAGGGGGACCUCUAAAGAGGCAUCCAGGUGAGACAUGGGUGGCAAGAAGCACCCAGGCUUGUAUAGAAUGGUCAGAAGCCAGAAAACUGCCAGUGAGGAAGGCAGUAUGUGCACAUCACAGAGGACUACUGAGUUCUGUGUGUCAGACUAAUUGCACCCCUUCCAAGGAGGGUGUUCCAGCCCCAGUGCCUGGGGAUAUAGCUUCCUUGGAAACAGGGUCACUGUCACUGUGAUUAUUUGUGCUAGAGAAGAUUAUAGACAGUGACGAUGAGGACAGGGCCAUGUGGACAUGACCAGGAGAUGGGCAUGGUAACAGUCAUGAGACAAAGCCGAGGAAACUGGCCGCCAUCAAAAGCCAGAAGACUCUAGAAACUAACUGACCAGCCUCUAGAACCUUCCAAAGGAGAAUGGUCUCCUGCCGCAUUGUGCCUGGAACCUCUGCCCCAAGAGGGUGAAAGAACUUGUGUCUUGUGUUUGAACCACCCAUUUUAUGGUACUCUGUCCAGUGGGCAGUCUACAGCUGUCCCUCCCAUGGCUACACUGUCCCAUGGCGCUGUGGGAGGGGGGGAGGGGACAUCCCUGCAUCCUAGCUGACAUGGAGGAGAGAAGAGAUGAAGCGCCCACUGUGGCUUCCAGGACUUACGGUGGGGGGGAGGGGGGGGAUGUGUGAAGGAGAAGGAAGCAGGAGGAGCCAAAGGGAGGCCGUUCUUUUCCAUGUAAAUCAGGUUGUAGAGAUACGGAAGGUAUGUCGUGGAAUUUUACGUUUUUGUGUUAUUGUCACACAGGGUAAGGGUAAAGAAGCCACAAGCAGCUGCCUUAAGGCCUGCUGGAGGCUGCACAGCGACCCCUCAGUUGAGCAUGAGUCCGGCUCCCGCUUGUCAGCUCGCAACAGCCCUGCUCCGACCAUCUCCCACAUCACUGAGUUUAUGUGUUUCCUCUGCAGGUCUCUCUUAAUUUCAAGUGAGACUUGCCCUCUGAGGACAUGCUAUGAUAGCUGUGUGGUCCUUGGGUGAGGGAUCCCCUGAGAGACAACCAGGCUCAAGGAAAUACAGUGGCCCUAAGAGAGAAUGAGAAGAUUGAUCUCAGUCAGGUGCCAGUGUGGCUAACUUCCUGCAGAACAAGCAAUAGCUACAGAGAGAGACAGACAGACUGACUGACUGACUGACUGACUGACUGACUGACUGACUCUUUCCAACAUUGCCUCAGAUGCUGCUUUUUCGACAAAUGAGAUAUGGAAAGAGCAUGUUGGCCGUGCAUAUGGGGGUGGGGUGCACGUGUCUGCUAAUGGCAGCCAGAGUCUAACACUGGUGUCCUCCUCCACUGCUCUUCCACUUAUUUGUCUGUCUGUCUGUUUUUUGAGGCAGGGUUUCACACUGAACCUAGAGCUCACUAAUUCAGCUAGGUUGCCUGACCAGUGGGCUUCAAGGACCCAUCAGUGUCUGUCUCCACACCCGCCGUACCCCAUGCCCAGGGCCGAGGUUACAGACAAGUACAACCACAUCCAGUUUUUAUGUGGAUACAGAGAAUUCCGAUUCCACUUGGCCUGUGCAAAAGGCACAGUUCUUUGAGUCUUCCCCAGCCCGUCACUCUUUUUUCAAGAGGAGCCAUUGACUGUUGGUACAGGAUUUCUUCUCUCCACCAGAGGCUGUUAGCCUGUAAGUGUGAGUUGCCCUGCAUCUUCCUGUCCCUCCGAGGUAAAUACAGGACACUUCAAUGUUGAACAGGUCAUAUGGACGGACAGCGAUGAGAGCCACCCUGAAGAAGUAUUUCAUAAAGCCAUGGAUUUUAGGGACUUAACAGAAAUCCAAUUCAUAGCACCCUUCAGUUUCAUUCCGCACAAUCUCAAGUGCACUUUUAAAACUGGUGACUUCCUAAGGCCGGGGUCUGCAAUGCAUCAGAACUGAAGGAGCCAGGGCAGCUGGAUUGUUGUGAAACACUUGCUGGCGUCACUUCUCAAAUUGGGAAAUUUGCUCCCGAAAGAAUGGAGAUAGGUGGAUGGUUCCUCAGAGCGAAUGUAAAAGCUAAUUCAGGAAUUACUCACAGUGAACUUUGAACCUGCAUUUUCUCUGUUUCUUUCAUGCAAUGUCCUCCUUUUCUGUGAUUUUCUUACUUUGUGGGUCUUUACCUUGUGUAAACUCAGGGUCACACAGCCAGGGAAGGAUACUAACAGGUACCCAGCCCCUGACCGUGUGGUCUUCUUGGCAUAUCUCAAUGAGAUGGAGUCUCUCUGCACAGACAAGGAGUCCAGGCCAUGGAGCCCCAAGUCACUCCACAGCCACCUGUGCCAUUGCCAGGUGCAGCCACCAGUGAUUCCAGAAUAUUUGUGAUUCCUGUCCUUUCUCUCUUGUAUCCUUCACUCACCCGUCUCUUCCCUGGCAGCUAGGGGUACUGGAAGAAGAUACUUGUAGAGCCCACUAUACAGAUCCAGUGUGGUCAUUCUCCCACCUGGAAACUAUGGCGUGUGGACCUCACGUGUUGCUACCCCUGCUCCUUUUUCUUGGAAGCUUGCAGGCCUAAACUCUCUGUAAAAACACCCUGCAACAAAGAAAGAAUACACGAGGACUGUCCAGUAACGCAUGCGCAUGUUCCAGUCGCAGGUGUCACCGUUGGCUCAGUGGCUCUUCAGCCUACACCACAGUAAGCUCUCGAGGCAGUGUUAACUUGCACAAUCCAGUGAGUGGAAGAAAUGUGACGUAGUGUCUGUGACACCAUAGAUACUGCUAGCCCUGAAUCCCCAGCUUUAACCCCCAACGCUUUGUUCUAUGGAUGCAAUGUAAGUGAGAGGAAGAAAUGUCCUCAGAAGAAAGGUUUUAGUAAUAAACUUUAACAGUAUGAUUAUAGUAGAACUAUUUUAUUUUUAAAAAUGAUUAAGACAGGGGUUGGGGAUUUAGCUCAGUGGUAGAGCGCUUACCUAGGAAGCGCAAGGCCCUGGGUUCGGUCCCCAGCUCCGAAAAAAAAGAACCAAAAAAAAAAAAAAUGAUUAAGACAAAAGGUGAAAUAGAGACAGUCCCCUGUGCUUGUGUACACAUGCACACGCACACACGCUUUCCUCUGUAAGCCUGUCAUUAGUGUGACAUUGGUUAUGGCAGAUGAACCUGUCCUGAUACCUUGUGAUUUAAGUCCAUACUUUACCACGGUUUCUUUAGUUUUUACCUAAGGACUUUUUCUGUUCCAGGAUCCAUGUUUCCUUUAGUUGUCAGUCUUCUCCAUUGCCUGGGACUCCUCUCGCCUGGGGCAGAUUUUCAGACUUUCUUGUUGAUGAGCUUCACCUAUUGGGAGGACAUCACAGGGUACUCCAAUGGAGACCGCUACUGGCAUGUAUUGGAUGUUUUUCUAAGUGUGGCGAGAAAGAGACUCUAGAUGUACCAUGUCCGUGCACCCUGGAUACUCACUACAUGAUUCCUGUCUGCUGAUGACAACACUGUCCUUGUUCAUGCAACGUGUAGUGGUCAUACUAGGUCCCCAGUCCGUGAACUGUUCUGUCCUUUCCCCAUCAUGGACUCUUUCAAGAGAAGUCACUGUUCCCAUUCUCCACUGAGGGCAGAGAAUCUACAGACAUUACUUGUAAUCCUGGAAAAUCACCAACUCCUCCUCACUGCUUACUAUUAACAUAUAAAGUCAUUUCUCCUCUGUCUGGAAGCCAUGACUUUUUGAUAUUCCCAGCUGUGGAAGUCAGCCGCCCUUACAGUGGUCUGGUGACCUUCGGAAUGCCUCAGUGUGCGUGUGUUGGGGGUGGGGGUCCUGUCUUAUCCUUUUUCAUCAAAUUCUGCUACCCUAACACAUUCCAGCCUCACCUUGUGGGCUUCCUGCAUUUGCGAGCACCAGGCCUUUCUCUUUGAAAUAAAAUAUGGCAUGCACAUAGCAUAAAACAGGAACCAUUAUUAUAACAUGACCCACCCACCUGCCUCUCCCCACACCUCUACACCCCCACACCCCGCCACCUUGCUGACUGUGAUAGAGGGAUGUAUAUAUACCUAAAUCAACACGUCACUCCCAACAUGUUAGAUCCCUCCAAAGGGAAAGUGGGAAGACUGAGUGGGGGCAGGAAGUUAGCUCACUUCUGCAGUAAUCCUAGAGCAGGUGUAGCGGUUUCACCGGCACUCGGUUAAACCUGGACAGAGUCGGUGUGUUUAGUUUCUAAUGAAAGAAGGCAGACUCUGUCAUUCUGACGGCUCAGCACUGCAGCACUUCUCCCAGGCCUUCCUUCCAUGGUAAUGACCUUGGUUAAUCAUUCACAAUGACGAAAGAAACCCUGAUGUUACGGCCAACGCAGCUUUAUGGGAAGAGAUUGUUGGUGUGUAAAGGAAUGAGUGUUUGAAUGAGCAAGGAGAGUGAGUUUAGACUUCUCCUCCUCUCUGGUCUUUACACACUGACUACCAACAAUCUUCUGGAUUCUGGAUUCCGGACUCUGUGAUUUCUGAAGCUGCCCAUCGGCCGCACCCUUGGAGGUGUCUGCAGCUGGCCUCAGAUGGGAGCAGCACGCUCGUCUCUGCUUGAUCCGACAGUUCUCCUCAGGUUCAGAUGCCACAUGUGAGGGAGCCGCUGCGUGGAGUGUUCCCCCCGCCCUCCGGAACGCGGCUGCAGAAACAGCAGAUCAAAUGCAGAGGCCCCCGUUUGCUGCCAAUGAGGCUGGUGGUCCAGUGAUCACAGCCCCUCAAUUACAGCCCUGUGCAAGAGCACGAGCAGUGGUCAUUAAAUAAUUAUGCCUUUGAUUAGUUGCUUAACUAGUCAAUGCUUUGAAAUACGAUAACUCAAUUUGGAGUUUUAUUAAAAAACAAUUUUUCCCUGGAAUCAUCUAAAAAGAUUUUGUGUUUAAGAAAAGAAAAAAGAAUCUGCAAUAUAUUUUUGUUGGAGGAAAUUGAGAAAGAAAAGAAGAAGAAAGGAGCGGAAAGGGUGGGGGCCAAGAUGAGAA